rnacentral:lncRNA from 1 species
UCGGAGGAGACACGAGGCUAGCAGCUUCUGCAAGUAUUGACAACAAAAGGUUCGGACAGGUUACGGUCCGAGCCAGCGGCUCAGAUCAGUGGCAGAUUUCGGGCAUGGCCAUUCUUGCUCUCGCUAUGACCAUCUACAAGAGGUUUAUUCGAUCAGGAGACAGUUGAGAAGGAGGCUUUUAAGAUUAUUAGGGUGUUUUUUUUUUUAAUAGAAAACCUUUCGAUAUGAGAUUUUGUGCAAAAAGUAGUUUUCUUCUUUCUGAUGAGAUGAUUAUAUAUAUGAUCAUACCUUUCUUUUGCUGUUCAUCAUACCAUCAAUAGAAAUCGUCCAAUUUCUGAUUUUGUUUCGCAAAAUUCGGACUUUUGU